CUUACAUAUUUUUUGAGCUUAGAGUUGAGGCUAUUGACUGGCUAGCGAACUCACAAGUGUAGGUAGUGUGCUAUAUGAGGGGCAAAUUUUCGCUAACACUGCAAGGAUCUCUAGCCCAAUGAGUGGAGUUUGAUAGCAAUCAUUGCUACAAGU